GUCUUUUUGAUUAUAAUUUAAAGUCUAACCUGCCCACUGAAUUUUUUGAAGGGCCGCGGUAUUUUGACUGUGCAAAGGUAGCAUAAUCAUUAGUCUUUUAAUUGGAGGCUUGUAUGAAUGGUUGGAUGAGGUAUUAACUGUCUCAAUUUAAUAAAUAAUAGAAUUUUAUUUUUAAGUUAAAAAGCUUAAAUUUAAUUAAAAGACGAGAAGACCCUAUAGAUCUUUAUAAUUAAUUUUAUAAUAAUUUUUUAGGUAAAAUUUAUUUUUAUAUAAUAAAUUAUUUUAUUGGGGUGAUAAAAAAAUUUGUAAAACUUUUUUUGUGUAUAAACAGUGAUAUUUGAUUAAUUGAUCCAUUUUUUGUGAUUAUAAGAUUAAGUUACCUUAGGGAUAACAGCGUAAUUUUUUUGGAGAGUUCUUAUCGAUAAAAAAGAUUGCGACCUCGAUGUUGAAUUAAAGGUUAAUUUUAGGUGUAGAAGUUUAAAAUUUUGGUCUGUUCGACCAUUAAAUC
rnacentral:rRNA from 1 species